CCCUUGUACACACCGCCCGUCACGCCAUGGGAGUUGGUUUUACCUGAAGGCGGUGCGCUAACCCGCAAGGGAGGCAGCCGACCACGGUAGGGUCAGCGACUGGGGUG
rnacentral:rRNA from 1 species